rnacentral:rRNA from 1 species
UACGAAAGGAGCAAGUGUUAUUCAGAUUAACUGGGCGUAAAGGGCACGUAGGCGGUUUGUUUAUGUGUAUUAUUAAAUUAUAAAGCAUAACUUUAUAAUGUAGUAUAAACAGCAAAACUAGAGUUAGGUAGAGAGUAGUAGAAUUGCUAAUGUAAAGGUGAAAUUUGAUAAAAUUAGAGAGAAUACCAAUGGCGAAAGCAACUACGUGGACCGGAGCUGACGCUGAGGUGCGAAGGUAUGGGGAGCAAAUAGG